GUGAGGAAUAUUGGUCAAUGGACGAGAGUCUGAACCAGCCAAGUCGCGUGAAGGAAGACGGUUCUAUGAAUUGUAAACUUCUUUUGUGCAGGAAUAAAGUACGGUACGUGUACCGUUUUGUAUGUACUCUGCGAAUAAGGAUCGGCUAACUCCGUGCCAGCAGCCGCGGUAAUACGGAGGAUCCAAGCGUUAUCCGGAUUUAUUGGGUUUAAAGGGUGCGCAGGCGGGUUGAUAAGUCAGCGGUGAAAGUUUGCAGCUUAACUGUAAAAUUGCCGUUGAAACUGUCGAUCUUGAGUGCAAAUGAGGUAAGCGGAAUGUGUUGUGUAGCGGUGAAAUGCUUAGAUAUAACACAGAACACCGAUUGCGAAGGCAGCUUACUGGGAUGCAACUGACGCUCAUGCACGAAAGCGUGGGGAUCAAACAGGAUUAGAAACCCUGGUAGUCC
rnacentral:rRNA from 1 species